rnacentral:rRNA from 1 species
GAUGAACGCUGGCGGCGUGCCUAAUACAUGCAAGUCGAGCGAACGGACGAGAAGCUUGCUUCUCUGAUGUUAGCGGCGGACGGGUGAGUAACACGUGGAUAACCUACCUAUAAGACUGGGAUAACUUCGGGAAACCGGAGCUAAUACCGGAUAAUAUUUUGAACCGCAUGGUUCAAAAGUGAAAGACGGGCUUGCUGUCACUUAUAGAUGGAUCCGCGCUGCAUUAGCUAGUUGGGAAGGUAACGGCUUACCAAGGCAACGAUGCAUAGCCGACCUGAGAGGGUGAUCGGCCACACUGGAACUGAGACACGGUCCAGACUCCUACGGGAGGCAGCAGUAGGGAAUCUUCCGCAAUGGGCGAAAGCCUGACGGAGCAACGCCGCGUGAGUGAUGAAGGUCUUCGGAUCGUAAAACUCUGUUAUUAGGGAAGAACAUAUGUGUAAGUAACUGUGCACAUCUUGACGGUACCUAAUCAGAAAGCCACGGCUAACUACGUG